UUAGUUAAGUGAAUAAGGGCGCACGGUGGAUGCCUUGGCACUAGGAGCCGAUGAAGGACGGGACUAACACCGAUAUGCCUCGGGGAGUUGUAAGUAAACUUAGAUUCGAGGAUUUCCGAAUGGGGAAACCCACUGUUCGUAAUGGAACAGGACUUAUGUCUGAAUACAUAGGGCAUAAGAGGCACACCCAGGGAACUGAAACAUCUCAGUACCUGGAGGAAGAGAAAGCAAAUGCGAUUUCCCAAGUAGCGGCGAGCGAAACGGAAACAGCCCAAACCAGAGAGCUUGCUCUCUGGGGUUGUAGGACACUCCACAAGGAGUUACAAAGAAAUUCUUUAGAUGAAUCAACCUGGAAAGGUUAGCC
rnacentral:rRNA from 1 species